GAGGUGGGAGGAUUGCUUGAGCCUGGGAGGUCGAGGCCGCAGUGAGCCAUGAUCAUGCCACUGCACUCCAGCCUGAGUGACAGAGUGAGACCUUGUCUC
rnacentral:miRNA from 1 species